rnacentral:rRNA from 1 species
UACGAAGGGGGCUAGCGUUGCUCGGAAUCACUGGGCGUAAAGGGUGCGUAGGCGGGUCUUUAAGUCAGGGGUGAAAUCCUGGAGCUCAACUCCAGAACUGCCUUUGAUACUGAGGAUCUUGAGUUCGGGAGAGGUGAGUGGAACUGCGAGUGUAGAGGUGAAAUUCGUAGAUAUUCGCCAAGAAUACCAGUGGCGAAGGCGGCUCACUGGCCCGAGUACUGACGCUGAGGCACGAAAGCGUGGGGAGCAAAGCAGG